rnacentral:lncRNA from 1 species
CCUGCCUCAGCCUCCUGAGUUAACAUAUAUUUUUAAAGGCCACUCUGAAUUUUCUAUGGUGAAUGAAUUAGAGGAAGACAAGGCUGGAAUUGGGGGAGUGGUGGAGGAACCAUGCAUAGACUUGGAUAGGCCCCCCAGGGGGAGCUGUGAUCUGCCGGGAAGGAUGACUGUGGCUCGGGUCCUGACAGUGGCUGUGAAGGCUCAGGAAGAAGGGAGUCUAUUUUGGAGGUGGAAAUGACAGAAAUUGCUAAUGAGUUAGAAGUGACUCUUACAUAUCUGAUGAGCAAUUUCUGACUUCGGUUGUUAUAUUUCUGGCUUGGUGUGAUUUUUGGAGAUAGUAAAGGCUGAAGUAGGAACAAAUCGAUGAAAGAAGCAGGGUGUGGAUCAAGGCUUGUAUUUGUGUGCUUUAAGUUUUGGAUGGCAGUGAGUUAUUCUGGUGAGGCUGUCACAGAAAGAGGCUGCAGUGCAGAAGAUGGGUCUGGGCUGAGGCAUGCAGCCUGUCUUCAUGGUGACUGGAUCCUCCCCCACAGCCCUAUGGAGAGACUUUUCACAAAGAAUCCCAGCCCCAUGCGUCCUUCAGCCUGUACUGACCUGAUGCAGACAGGGAGAGAUGAACACAGAACCCUCCAGCUGGAAGUUCUAAGGUAACCUGAUAGAUACCUGAUGGAGCCAGCGCCUCCAGGGUAGAGCUUUCAGGAAUGCAUAUGGAAUUUACAAGAAAAAGGCAAAUUCAUCAUCACAGCAUGGGUGCAUUCUGUGAAAUGCAGAGUUACGUGAUUUCAUUGUUGUGAGGACAUCAUAGAGUGCACAUAUACACACCUAGAUGGCAGAGCCUAUACAAACCUACACUGUACGGUGUGGCCUAUUGCUCCUAGGUGCACACCUGCAUAGCACGUGACUGUACUGAAUACUGCAGGCAGCUGUAACACAAUGCUAAGUAUUUGUGUCUCUAAACAUAGAAGAGGGCCUGGGUGUGGUGGCUCACACCUGUAAUCCCGGCACUUUGGGAGUCCAAGGCAGGUGGAUCAUUUGAGGCCAGGAGUUCAAGACCAGCCUGGCCAACAUGAUGAAACUCCACCUCUACUAAAAAUACAAAAAAAUUAGCCUGGUGUGGUGGCGAGCAUCUAUAGUCCCAGCUACUUGGGAGGCUGAUGCAGGAGAAUUGCUUGAAUCCUGGAGGUAGAGGUUGGAGUUAGCUGAGAUCAUGCUACUGCACUAUAGCCU